rnacentral:lncRNA from 1 species
UAAAGAGGCUUGUUUAAAUUUAUCUGACUUCAACCCUUCUUUUCCCAAUUCUAUUUUCUCUCUUUUGCAAGUUUGAUGAUGUCUUUCCAUAAGAGAUAUUGGAUGGUCUUCCACCACUACGAGGAAUCAAGCAUUAGAUUGACUUUAUCCAUGGCAUAUCAAUUACCAAUCACCCAGUCUACCGAAGUAAUCCCGAGAAGACGAAGGAACUUUAGCAGCAAAUGGAGGAGUUGUUAGAGAAGGGACAUGUCUGAGAAACCUGGAGUCUUAG